GAUGAACGCUGGCGGCGUGCCUAAUACAUGCAAGUCGAGCGAACAGACGCGGAGCUUGCUCCUCUGACGAUAGCGGCGGACGGGUGAGACACAUGUGUAUACUCCACUUAAAAGUCUGGGAUAACCACGGGAAACCGGAUAAAAUCCCGGAUAAUAUAUUGCACCGCAUGGUUCAAUGGAGAAAGACGGCUUUGCUGGCACUUCUAGAUGGAUACGAGCGGCAUUAGCUAGUUGGUAAGGUCAAGGCUUUCCACGGCAACGAUGCGUAGCCGACCUGUGUGAGUGGUCGGCGACACUGGAACUGAGACACGGUCCAGGCUCCUACGGGAGGCAGCAGUAGGGAAUGUUCCGCAAUAGUCGAAAGCCUGACGGAGCGACGCGGCGUGAGUGAUGGAGGUCUUCGGAUCGUAAAGCUCUGUUAUUAGGUAAGAACAAAUGUGGAAGUAACUAUACACGUCUUGACGGUACCUAGUCAGAAAGCCACGGCUAACUACGUG
rnacentral:rRNA from 1 species